CUGCUGCCUCCCGUAGGAGUCUGGUCCGUGUCUCAGUACCAGUGUGGGGGACCUUCCUCUCAGAACCCCUACGCAUCGUCGCCUUGGUGGGCCGUUACCCCGCCAACAAGCUAAUGCGCCGCAUGCCCAUCCUCCGCCGGAAUCGCUUCCUUUUAACACCCGUGGGAUGCCCCACUGGUGUACCACGCGGUAUUAGUCCGGAUUUCUCCGGGUUAUCCCCCUGCGGAGGGCAGGUUGCAUACGUGUUACUCACCCGUGCGCCGGUCGCCGGCAG
rnacentral:rRNA from 1 species